AUGCUAGACGUUAGCUCUGGAUGCAAAUAUUCUUUCAAAAAUAGGAUGGUACUGAUUGAACUCAAUUUGUGUAGUAAAGAAUUUUUUUGAACUUCACUAUGCAAUCCAACCUAUUAGUAAUCAAGAUUAUGUCUUGCUAGUCCAUAGAAAACUGAUGUAGAAUAAAAUUCUAUUUUUAAGGAGGCAGUUGUAAACUUGUAUACCUAAGAAAAUACUAGCA
rnacentral:lncRNA from 1 species